rnacentral:misc_RNA from 1 species
UACGGAAGGUGCAAGCGUUACUCGGAAUCACUGGGCGUAAAGCGUCCGCAGGCGACUGCGUCAGUCUGAUGUAAAAGCACGGAGCUCAACUCCGUGUACGUAUCGGAAACUGCGUAGAUAGAGUCAUACAGAGGCAACUGGAAUUUCGUGUGUAGGGGUAAAAUCCGUUGAUCCACGAAGGAACGCCAAAAGCGAAGGCAGGUUGCUGGGUAUGUACUGACGCUCAGGGACGAAAGCGUGGGGAGCAAAGGGG